rnacentral:rRNA from 1 species
CCUACGGGAGGCAGCAGUGGGGAAUAUUGCACAAUGGGGGAAACCCUGAUGCAGCGACGCCGCGUGAGUGAAGAAGUAAUUCGUUAUGUAAAGCUCUAUCAGCAGGGAAGAAAAUGACGGUACCUGAGUAAGAAGCCCCGGCUAACUACGUGCCAGCAGCCGCGGUCAUACGUAGGGGGCAAGCGUUAUCCGGAUUUACUGGGUGUAAAGGGAGCGUAGACGGCAGUGCAAGUCUGGAGUGAAAGGCGGGGGCUCAACCCCCGGACUGCUCUGGAAACUGUAAGGCUGGAGUGCAGGAGAGGUAAGUGGAAUUCCUAGUGGAGCGGUGAAAUGCGUAGAUAUUAGGAGGAACACCAGUGGCGAAGGCGGCUUACUGGACUGUAACUGACGUUGAGGCUCGAAAGCGUGGGGAGCAAACAGGAUUAGAUACCCGGGUAGUC